rnacentral:rRNA from 1 species
ACGCUCGACACCUACGGGAGGCAGCAGUCGGGAAUAUUGCGCAAUGGAGGAAACUCUGACGCAGUGACGCCGCGUGCAGGAAGAAGGUUUUCGGAUUGUAAACUGCUUUAGACAGGGAAGAAUAAUGACAGUACCUGUAGAAUAAGCUCCGGCUAACUACGUGUCAGCAGCCGCGGUAAUCUGAGCGGGCUGGCAAGGC